CAAUAGCGUAUAUUAAAGUUGUUGCAGUUAGAACGCUCGUAGUCGGAUUUCGGGGCGGGCCGGCCGGUCUGCCGAUGGGUACGCACUGGUCGGCGCGUCCUUCCUUCCGGAGACCGUGCCUACUCUUAACUGAGCGGGGGCGGGAGACGGAUCGUUUACUUUGAAAAAAUCAGAGUGUUUCAAGCAGGCAGCUCGCUCUUGCAUGGAUUAGCAUGGGAUAAUGAAAUAGGACUUUGGUGCUAUUUUGUUGGUUUCGAACACCGAAGUAAUGAUUAAAAGGGACAGUCAGGGGCACUCGUAUUCCGCCGAGAGAGGUGAAAUUCUCAGACCAGCGGAAGACGAACUACUGCGAAAGCAUUUGCCAGGGAUGUUUUCACUG
rnacentral:rRNA from 1 species